rnacentral:rRNA from 1 species
GUUUCUGACCUAUCAGCUUUAGACGGUAGGGUAUUGGCCUACCGUGGCUAUGACGGGUAACGGGGAAUUAGGGUUCGAUUCCGGAGAGGGAGCCUGAGAAACGGCUACCACAUCUAAGGAAGGCAGCAGGCGCGCAAAUUACCCAAUCCUAAUACAGGGAGGUAGUGACAAGAAAUAACAAUACAGAGCCUUACGGUUUUGUAAUUGGAAUGAGUUAAGUAUAAACCCCUUAACAAGUAUCAAUUGGAGGGCAAGUCUGGUGCCAGCAGCCGCGGUAAUUCCAGCUCCAAUAGCGUAUAUUAAAGUUGUUGCAGUUAAAAAGCUCGUAGUUAAUUUUCUGUUAAUUUUUAUAUACAAUGCUACGGUAUUUAUAUAAUAUUAACAUAAUUCAUAUUACUUUUUAAGUAUAUGAAACUUUACUUUGAGAAAAUUAGAGUGCUUAAAGCAGGCUAUUGCCUUGAAUACUCCAGCAUGGAAUAAUAUUAAGGAUUUUUAUUCUUCUUAUUGGUUCUAGAAUAAAAAUAAUGAUUAAUAGGGACAGUUGGGGGCAUUUGUAUUUAACAGUCAGAGGUGAAAUUCUUAGAUUUGUUAAAGACAAACUACUGCGAAAGCAUUUGCCAAGGAUGUUUUCAUUAAUCAAGAACGAAAGUUAGGGGAUCGAAGACGAUCAGAUACCGUCGUAGUCU